ensembl:lncRNA
CCCGGCCUUACACCCGUGCUGCACACACGCCGCCCUUUUGUUCUGUUUGUGCUGAGUAUAAUGGAACUUGCGUCCUUGCCUGAGAUCUCAAAGGCUUUCUGUAAUUAAAUGCUUAAGAGGUAGCCAUGGUAUGGAGGACAGUCUGACUAACCCUAUGUGACCCUUCCAACCUGGAUGGACCUUCAUUCAUAUGAUUGUUUGCUCAUCUAUCAAGUUCCACAUCCUUGUACCUUGUAUAAAGACACCUUGGAGGGUGAGAGGCCCUGAUCAAUGCCUUGGUCACUGCACAAGUACAGAGGAAGGAUCAGUCACAGACAGCAGGCAAAUCUUAACACCUCUGGAAAAGGGAUACCAAGCAACCUUGUUUGGCC